CCUACGGGUGGCAGCAGUGGGGGAUAUUGCACAAUGGGGGAAACCCUGAUGCAGCGACGCCGCGUGGGCGAAGAAGUAUUUCGGUAUGUAAAGCCCUAUCAGCAGGGAAGAAGAAAUGACGGUACCUGAGUAAGAAGCACCGGCUAAAUACGUGCCAGCAGCCGCGGUAAUACGUAUGGUGCAAGCGUUAUCCGGAUUUACUGGGAGUAAAGGGAGCGCAGGCGGCACGGCAAGCCUGUAGUGAAAUCCCGGGGCCCAACCGCGGGACUGCAUUGGGACCUACCGGGGUGGGGUGCCAGAGGGGUAGGCGGAAUUCAUAGUGUAGCGGUGAAAGGGGUAGAUAUUAGGAGGAACACCAGUGGCGAAGGCGGCUUACUGGACGGUGACUGACGCUGAGGCUCGAAAGCGUGGGGAGCAAACAGGAUUAGAUACCCUGUAGUC
rnacentral:rRNA from 1 species